AUCAAUUCUCUCCUCUUCCCUUCUGAUUUUUGAGAAUCUGCAAUGUCCACAUUGGCUGCCACAUCUUUGCUCAGAAACCUCAUCAGGCUGAAAGAAUGAGGCAAGAAACAGUCUUUUUAGCUGACUAGACUUCAACUAUAUUUCUGCUUUUUUUGGAACAAUAAAAAUGAAUUUUCUUCUGCUGGCCUUUCAGAGAGCUGGGCUGGCUGAAACCAGAGGGACAUCUUGGAUGAGGAAGGUUGGAAAGAGCACCACUGGAGAUGCCAGCACAGGCAUUCUGCCAUUCUAGUGAGGUAUCCUGGCAUCUGUGCUGGAGCAUCCAAGCGAUCUCUUCCCAAGAGCUGUCCGUGGGCUCCCACUCCUCUCCCUCCAGUUCAGUGUUGCCUGGACAACAGAGAAUUACCCUCUGCGCAUCCACACACAGCCAGACCGUGCCACCGAGAGCCUUCCUGCCUGCCACAGCAGGGACCCAGACUGCUCAUUAAAAAUAGAUCACUGGAGAGAGAAGCCAGCAGGCUUCGAGCCUCGUCUGAAAUGUAUGAAGCGAAGCCUUUGGA